UUAUUUUGUUCUGAAGGCAAAAGCCAUCUGGGGGCAGGGUAAUUACCCUGAGCCAGGGAGACAAAGGGACUGCAGUUCUCAGCUCUGCUGCAGGUGGCUGAGAGCUUUGGGUGGAAUGUCACAAAGUACCCAGGUUGAAGGGUGAGUCAGAAAUCCUUAGGUCACUUGCGGUUUUCUUUCAUGGUUUUGCUGUGACUAGUCACUUGUUUUUACUUAGCAAGAACAACAGCUGUUUGGGUGUCUGAAACAGCACUGCCUGGUCCCCGUAGUGCCGGGGCUGCCCCGGUUUGGUAGAGGGAAGAUACAGGGAACAUGAGACCUGGCGAGUCUUUUUUGGAGCCAGUGUGAGUCUUAGGUAAGGAGUGGGGCAUCCCUGGGCACAGACACUGAGCCAGAUUUUCAUGAUGCUCAACUGAGCUUGCAUCAAGAUACUGAUUCAUUAAUUUGAAUUACUCAUUUUACUGGACCAGUCCUCAGGAGCCAUUCAGCUCUCUGGAAGAAAAUCCCUGCCUCAGAAGAACUAUGGACAACUCCUGAGAUCCAAGAGGCUGAGGCUUGGAGAGGGCAUUAAGGACCUUAAAAACCAUAUAAGCCGCUUCUUACAUUUCCUCUUAAUGUAAUACAGUCAGCUAAGGGUGCUGUCAGGCACCUGCAUAGCUGUCUGCUUGCAUCUUUGAUUUGGACACAAAGCAUGAUGUUCAGAAGAGGAACGAAGAGAUGGGACAAUCCACAAAGAAUCCUGGUACCCGUUCAUCCUGUGGCUGCUGCUGUCAUGGAAACCAUGUGGAAAAGCACCAAAGGGUCAGGAGGAGAAGAACCAGGCUCGAGUGUCUGAAAGCCUGUCCUUCUGUGAACGCUAUCAUGAGGCCAGCUGUGCCCACGGAGGAAAACAUUGCCCCACUAGGUCAGGUUAUUCUCCCAGGAGAGGACACAAGCUGUUGGUUUUGAUGGAGAUGAACUUAACAAGUCUUCAGAAGAGGAGGGAAUGGAAAGUAAGUUUGGGUUCCAAAGCAACAGAUUUCCACAUGCCUGUGCUGCUCUUGCUUCUCCACUAUCUUAGGAUUCAUGAAUGGGAGAC
rnacentral:lncRNA from 1 species